GACAUCUAGCAGCUUGUCACAACUUCCAAAAUAUUUGAGGAAAUGAAGUCUGAAUGCCAAGACAGUAAUUUUACCAUUAUCCCAGUGGGUGAAAAAGCUGAGGCUUAGAAAAGAUGACUACCUUGGUAAAAAAGUCACACAGACUUUGGGAUAAAAACCAGGCAUAAGAGCCAGAAGUGGAAACUAGGACUGUCUGCAAAGCCUGUGAUUAAAACAAUUGUAAUUAACUGUUUCUUACUGGACUCUAAAUAAAGGAUGAAUGUGAAAAGUCA